rnacentral:rRNA from 1 species
UGCAGUCGAACGGUGAACACGGAGCUUGCUCUGUGGGAUCAGUGGCGAACGGGUGAGUAACACGUGAGCAACCUGCCCCUGACUCUGGGAUAAGCGCUGGAAACGGCGUCUAAUACUGGAUACGAGUAGCGACCGCAUGGUCAGUUACUGGAAAGAUUUAUUGGUUGGGGAUGGGCUCGCGGCCUAUCAGCUUGUUGGUGAGGUAAUGGCUCACCAAGGCGUCGACGGGUAGCCGGCCUGAGAGGGUGACCGGCCACACUGGGACUGAGACACGGCCCAGACUCCUACGGGAGGCAGCAGUGGGGAAUAUUGCACAAUGGGCGCAAGCCUGAUGCAGCAACGCCGCGUGAGGGAUGACGGCCUUCGGGUUGUAAACCUCUUUUAGCAGGGAAGAAGCGAAAGUGACGGUACCUGCAGAAAAAGCGCCGGCUAACUACGUGCCAGCA